rnacentral:misc_RNA from 1 species
UUAGAACAACUCCAGCUUCAAAGGUUUCUAUCCUCAUCUUCUUUGAUGUUUUUGUCUUUUCUUUAACAAUGUUUGGUCACUGAGAAAACGUGGGAAGUUGAGGGAAUUUUUCGGAUAGACAAAGAAACUGAUAGACAUGGUACUCUUAAUUAUAGAAAAAUCUUUCAUUUGUUUAAGGAUUCUGAAACAAUAUAGAACAUGGGUCUCGAAAUUUUGUUUGCUUUCUUUUUUCUUUUUUGUUUUUUCUUUUUUUUCCCUAAUCAAAUGACCAAAGCGACUGUACAUCUGGGCUUGGGAAUAAACCACCAAUAUUGGGCCUAGUGACAGAUGUUUUCCCAACACCACCUCCUGAACCUUGCACAGUCCAGUCCUUCAUGGACCAACAAUUAGCUGGAGACGGCUCAAAAGGAUGGUUGGUUACAGUGCCUGUAGGACUCCCAUAAAUUAUUUCAUUCUGAAUAUUCUCUUCCUGAGCUUUCAGAGAGAAAUGGCUAUCACUCCCUGACAAUGGUGGGAAAAAGGCAUUCUGUGACCAUGGAUCAUUAUCACUUGAACCACUAACUGGACUAAACACCCCACUAUUCUGGCCAUUGCCAAGAAAAACCUUCUGUGGAGAAUGAGUACCAGAAAGGACUUGGUCAUCUUUUGAAAAAAAGGAAGCUGAAGACUGCAAGACAUCUUCCAUGGUUGAUCUGCUCCGAUCUGGGGGUAAAAGCCAGCUUCCCGGCCCACCUACCAAACCUAAACCAUCCUGACCAAGAGGAGAACUGUUCCACAUUUGCCAUGUUCCCUUCUCAUUCACAUGCACAUCAUCCACAGGCAGAGUGUGUGAAUCUUGAGCCUUAGGAGUAUUUGAAAACCAGUUAGAACCAUUAUGCUUUUCAUCAGCAAUUCGCAGUCGUGACAAUGGAGACUCAAUUGGAGAUGGCUUGUUCGCUUCAGGAGAUGCAGAUGUAUUCUUCAAUGCAUGAGGCCUUUCCAAUCCUAUGUCUGAUGCAAAACCAGUCCCCACAUCCAACUGAAAAUUAUCAAGUGAUUCUGAUACAGGCCCAAGUAAUGAUAUUGGAUCAGAAACAUAACAUGGAUCUUCAAAAAGCUCAGGUUCCUUAGGCAUAAAGUCAUGGGGCCCUUCAACAACACGAGGAAAAAUGGGUUCAAUGGGAGAUGAGAAGCCUAAACUAGUGCUACUGGAUACAUUUGGAUAUGUUGAGAGAGUAAAUGGCGAUGGCAGCCCAAAAUUGAUUGGAUUAUCAAAAGGUUGUAAUGAUGAUGAUUGCCCAUGUAACUGUGGGCUUUGAAUUUCUGCUUGGGGCUUCAAAUUAGGCCUACUAAUGACAUUUGAGUUAGAGGAUGAAGUCAUCGAUGAUGUGCGUGUAAAUAAUUGUUGCCAUGAUUUUUUAGGUGUUGUCCUUGCCGGUGUAUCCGAGAGCACCUGCCAUGAAACGGUCAACAAUUUAAUAUAGAUUUUCUUCCAAAUGCAGUGCAAAGGUACAACGGUAUUGUAAAAAAAAAAAAAAUAAAACUCAUGAAACUCAAGCACAACGCCAUAUGAGACUAUGGACUUACUAAUCAAAGUAUAUAUGCACUCACAGUCAGUUCCCAAAAAGCAUGGGCAACUAACCAUAAUGGAAGAAAUUUUUCAAUAACAAUCUGCUAUAUAUCAAAACUAUGCAAAGUCAACUCAAAUGUCAAUUUAUCAUAAUUGCUAAACAGUACAUUCUUUCAAAAUUCCUUUAGAAAUUGGCCAUAUCAAGACACAAGCACAUCAUGAGGACAAACUGAACAGAGAAUGAUAAGGUGAUUUCAGCAUACCUUACUCAGGCCACCAGUAAACAUCCUAAAAAAUUAAAAUGAGAUAAACAGCAAGACAACUUACAGGACGGUUUACAUUCUUAUCAUCUCCAUUCAUAAAUGAUUUCCCAGUUAGGCACUCAGGUGGACAUAUAUCCCUCCUACAGGCAGAAGCAUGGCCAUGAUCUACAGAACUGUUAAACUUAUUUUCUUUUGUAACAUUAGCAGGAGUAUUAGCAGACUUUCCAAAGAAAUCACUUCCUGUAAAAGCUCUAGAAGAAGACAAAAAUGUACCCCUCAUUCGAUCCAGAUACCUAGUUCCAUCAUUUCCACGGUUAUAAUUGCUUGCAGACAGAUGCUUUGUACCAUGUCCUGAUUCAGUGCUCUGGCCUUUCACAUUGUCGUUCCCAGACUUUUGAUGUUCCCGACGGUCAGCUUCACUCUUCUUCUCAUAGUCCUGCUUCCGCUCGCUUUCCUUAUCAGCUUUCUUUUCCAUCUCUUCAGCAUCAGAAUUACUCUUACUUGAACCCUUGUCUUUUUCUUUCCUUCUUUCCUGACGCCUCUUCUCUGCUUCCUUCUUACUAUCCUUCUCCCGGAUGGUUGGUGAAGAUUUGGUUCGAUAUUUUUCAGCCUCCAUUUUCUCAUCCCUCAGCCUCCUACGUUCCUCAACCAAUCUUGCAACCUCCUCCCUUUGCUUUCUUUCUUCCUCCUCCAAAAGCUCCUUCUCUAACCUAGCCUGUCUUUUCUCUUCAGCUUUUCUGCGUGCUUUUUCUCCUUUAGUCUCAUGAUAAUUUGCCCCAUUCUCACCCCUUUUAGUCAAAAUCCCCCUAUGAUCUGCAUCAGAAGAAGAGUCCUCCUUUGAUGAACUAAUUCUAAAAACCUUUCUCCAAAUCCACCUAAUGCUCAAGAAAAAAGAAGUCAACAGCUUACAUGCAGACAGCACAACACCUGAAUAAGAUUUCUCAGCCAAACAAUUCUCAUCGCCUCCAAAAUAUCCACUCCCAUUCUUCCGCCAAUAAUUAGAUUUCCCGGCAAUAGACCCACCAGCCCAAUUGCCGUUUUCUAACCAAUCCUGACUGCACAUCCAUCCAUUGUCAGACCAGGCCUUGCCGUUCAAUAUUUUCCCACCCCUGCCAACCAGAUCCUUAAUAAUCCCAGAAUUAGACAUUCCCAAUCCAGGAGGUACAGGCAAGUCUAAAACUGGCCUCUUGGAAAUAUGGCCACAAUAAGCACACAUAAAUCUACCACCACCUGGAUUCUGAUCCCUAUAUGGUGUCAAGCAGUUUCUGCACCUUCUUGUUGCAGUCUUUCGAAGCUUCUGCAAUUCAAUAGCUUCAGACCUUUUUCUCUCCCUCAAUCGUGCAUUUCUACGCACACGCCAAGCAGACAGCUGAGGCAUUAAAAUUUCAUACCAAAAAAGAGUGACCAAAAGCACAAAAACACAAGCGAGCCUGGGUGAGGUGAUCUCAAAUCGAAAAGCAGGUGGCAGAAGCUGUGAGAGAGCCCACAAUCCUAUAAGAGGAAUAACUAACCAAGGCAGCAUAGUAGCA